GACAGCAAUGAAUAUUGUUUUGACAAGUAGGUAUUAUUAAAAACUUACAAAAUACGCUUUCAUCCAUUUUUUAAUAUUCAACGACGUAAAAAUGUUUAUCAAAGUGUUCGUAUUAGUUUUUUCUAUGCUCGCUGUGAGUAAUGUCGAGGCAGCGCAUAGUUAUGAUUUUGGCGACUUCUUGGCGACAGUUCUAGGUGUCGGAAUAACUCUAAUUGGUAUUUUCGCGUGUUUAGGUAAUUACGCGAGAAAGAAGGCAAGAAACGAAUUUAUAUAGAGUAAUUAUUAUGUAUCACUUCAAGAUAAUGAGACUACAGUUAUCAUCAAAUUACCACAAAUAUUAAAGAAUAUUAAUUAACAUGUAAAGUAAAGAAGUGUAUUUUUAUAUUGCACAAUCCUUAAGUACAUCUGUAUAAUGGAAUACAAGGUUGUUUCUUUUGUACAAUAAAAAAAAAUUAAAUCACUGACACAUCUGAAAAAUUAAAUAAAUAUGAAAAUUGAACUGGACCGAACUUACUAUACAUAUUAUAUUACUUGUUUUAAGUCUCUAUUGUUAUAUAAUAAAUUUAUAACAAUAGAGACUUAACUUUCUUUGUUUAAAAUAUGUUAGGGAAAUGAUCUUUUAAAAGAGAAUAAACACUUGAUUCUUACAUAUGAUAACUUAUUGCCAUGUUAUAUUAUAGUUAAAAAAAAGUAAUAUGCAGUACAUCUGUGAUUAUUUUAAGAUAUUUGUAUUUUGUUAUUGGCCUAACCCACAGUCUGAAUGUAAUAAAAACAUUACUUUUUGCAGUUAAUUAUCAACAUUUGAUUUUGCAUGUACAAUAUAACAUAAAGCAAAGA